GCGGGUGUGGCGCAAUGGAUAGCGCGUCAGCCUUCGGAGCUGAAGGUUGUGGGUUCGAGUCCCAUCAUUCGUA